rnacentral:rRNA from 1 species
GACGAACCGUGCGAACGUUGUUCGGAAUCACUGGGCUUAAAGGGCGCGUAGGCGGCCUGCAUGGUCGGGGGUGAAAUCCCACAGCUUAACUGUGGAAGUGCCUUCGAUACCGGCGGGCUCGAGGAAGGUAGGGGUGCGCGGAACUUCUGGUGGAGCGGUGAAAUGCGUUGAUAUCAGAAGGAACGCCGGCGGCGAAAGCGGCGCACUGGACCUUUUCUGACGCUGAGGCGCGAAAGCCAGGGGAGCAAACGGG